UACGUAGGGACCGAGCGUUGUCCGGAAUCAUUGGGCGUAAAGAGCGUGUAGGCGGCCAACUAAGUCCUGCGUGAAAGCUCCCGGCUCAACCGGGAAGGGUUAUGCCAGACUGCUAGUCUUGAGUGCGAGAGAGGAGCGUGGAAUUCCGGGUGUAGUGGUGAAAUGCGUAGAGAUCCGGAGGAACCCCAGAGGCGAAGGCGGCGCUCUGGCUCGCAACUGACGCUCAGACACGACAGCAUGGGGAGCGAACGGG
rnacentral:rRNA from 1 species